rnacentral:rRNA from 1 species
CAACAGGGCAUUGCCUUAGUAACGGCGAGUGAAGCGGCAAAAGCUCAAAUUUGAAAUCUGGCACCUUCGGUGUCCGAGUUGUAAUUUGAAGAAGGUAACUUUGGAGUUGGCUCUUGUCUAUGUUCCUUGGAACAGGACGUCACAGAGGGUGAGAAUCCCGUGCGAUGAGAUGCCCAAUUCUAUGUAAAGUGCUUUCGAAGAGUCGAGUUGUUUGGGAAUGCAGCUCUAAGUGGGUGGUAAAUUCCAUCUAAAGCUAAAUAUUGGCGAGAGACCGAUAGCGAACAAGUACAGUGAUGGAAAGAUGAAAAGAACUUUGAAAAGAGAGUGAAAAAGUACGUGAAAUUGUUGAAAGGGAAGGGCUUGAGAUCAGACUUGGUAUUUUGCGAUCCUUUCCUUUUUGGUUGGGUUCUCCGCAGCUUACUGGGCCAGCAUCGGUUUGGACGGUAGGAUAAUGAUUAAGGAAUGUGGCUCUGCUU